GAAAUAUUUCAAAUAUGGCCAAAUAAAAAUGUCUGCCAAAUAAUUGAAAGGAAAUAUAAUAUUUAAAAUAAACUGUUAUUUCGUGCUUGUAAGGUAUUUGGUACACAUUUAUGGGCAUUAAUCUUAAGUAUGAAUGGAUCCUAGUACUGCACUUGUGUUUCAAACCAUUGGACUAAUUAAGAGAAGUUUACAAUGUUCUAUAUGGUAGGUGGAACCUACUUAUGAUAUAUUUUCUCAAAUGGUUGUAUAUUUGUCGAUAAAUAAUUUCUUAAAUCUUUUUAUAGUCUUGAUCUUUUAAACGAUCCACAUUCAACCAGAUGUAAUCAUCAAUUCUGCAG